rnacentral:rRNA from 1 species
UACGAAGGGGGCUAGCGGUGUUCGGAUUUACUGGGCGUAAAGGGCGCGUAGGCGGAUUUUUAAGUCGGGGGGGAAAUCCCGGGGCUCAACUCCGGAACUGCCUUCGAUACUGAAAGUCUGGAGCACGGUAGAGGUGAGUGGAAUUCCGAGUGUAGAGGUGAAAUUCGUAGAUAUUCGGAGGAACACCAGUGGCGAAGGCGGCUCACUGGACCGUUGCUGACGCUGAGGCGCGAAAGCGUGGGGAGCAAACAGG